rnacentral:lncRNA from 1 species
CUAAGUCUCUUCACCUCCACUGUACUCCACAGUAGCCCCAUAGGCCGGUGACUCAGCCUUUUAACCUUUAGACCCUUGGAGAACACUUCCUUCCACAGGCCAGAAAGGUAACAAAACGUCCAGAUGAUGACGAAAUCAGCCUUCCUCCCACCAAGCGAGUGCGGGCCUCCCCACCAGCCCAGACUGAGGACAGUCCUAUGGAUGCUGCUGGAGGCCAGGCCGCCCUACACCUGGAGCCCCUGCACUUCCUGCAGUGCCACAGCAGAAACAACAGCCCUAAGGACCUGGAGACCCAGCUGUGGGCCUGUGCCUUUGAGCCGGCCCGGGAGGAGGGACACUCGGGGGCCACAUCCCAGACCGUGGCCACAUGUGGCGGAGAAGCUGUUUGCGUGAUAGACUGCCAGACAGGCCUCGUGCUCCAUAAAUACAAGGUUCCGGGCGAGGAGUUCUUCUCAGUGGCCUGGACAGCCCUGACGGUGGCCACCCAGGCAGGCCACAAGAAGCGCUGGAACAUGCUGGCAGCUGCAGGCCUUCGGGGCAUGGUGCGGCUGCUCCAUGUGCGUGCGGGCUUCUGCUGCAGCGUCAUCAGGGCCCAUAAGAAGGCCAUCGCCACCCUCUGCUUCAGCCCCACCCAUGAGACUCACCUCUUCAGUAAGACCCUCAGCUCUGGGCUCUCCCAGCACUAUAGUCUUUCUGCCUCGUGACCUUAGGGUCCCUUCUGAGGUGGAAGGACUCGGAUGUCGGGCCCAGGAUGCACUACUCAGAAGUGAGGUAGCUUCUUGGCUAAUCAGGAUCUCCAUUCUAGCUUUAUUUCUAGCAUGCUAGUGACCUCGGAGUUUCCUAGCAACUUGGGCUCCUCUGUGUCUCUGCCUAGGACCAGGGGAUUUAACCCUGCCCCGUGGGUAUGGUGAGCCCAACAGAGGUGACAGAUGUGCUCUCGAGAUGGCUAUGAAGCUGUACACGAGGCUCAG